rnacentral:misc_RNA from 1 species
UCCGGCUUAUCACCGGCAGUUUCUUUAGAGUGCCCAACUAAAUGAUAGCAACUAAAGACGAGGGUUGCGCUCGUUGCGGGACUUAACCCAACAUCCCACGACACGAGCUGACGACAGCCAUGCAGCACCUCGACUAGUGUCCCUUGCGGGAAAAGAGACUUUCGCCUCCUGUCACUAGCCGUUCGAGCCCAGGUAAGGUUCUUCGCGUUGCGUCGAAUUAAACCACAUGCUCCACCGCUUGUGCAGGCCCCCGUCAAUUCCUUUGAGUUUCGGUCUUGCGACCGUACUCCCCAGGCGGGGCGCUUAAUGCGUUAGCUGCGGCACGGAACCCGUGGAAUGGAUCCCACACCUAGCGCCCAACGUUUACGGUGUGGACUAC